rnacentral:rRNA from 1 species
AACGAACGCUGGCGGCAUGCCUAACACAUGCAAGUCGAACGAGAUCUUCGGGUCUAGUGGCGCACGGGUGCGUAACGCGUGGGAAUCUGCCCUUUGGUUCGGAAUAACAGUUGGAAACGACUGCUAAUACCGGAUGAUGACGAAAGUCCAAAGAUUUAUCGCCAGAGGAUGAGCCCGCGUAGGAUUAGCUAAUUGGUGUGGUAAAGGCGCACCAAGGCGACGAUCCUUAGCUGGUCUGAGAGGAUGAUCAGCCACACUGGGACUGAGACACGGCCCAGACUCCUACGGGAGGCAGCAGUGGGGAAUAUUGGACAAUGGGCGAAAGCCUGAUCCAGCAAUGCCGCGUGAGUGAUGAAGGCCUUAGGGUUGUAAAGCUCUUUUACCCGGGAUGAUAAUGACAGUACCGGGAGAAUAAGCUCCGGCUAACUCCGUGUCAGCCGCCGCUGUAA